GAUGAACGCUGGCGGCGUGCCUAAUACAUGCAAGUCGAGCGAACAGACGAGGAGCUUGCUCCUCUGACGUUAGCGGCGGACGGGUGAGUAACACGUGGAUAACCUACCUAUAAGACUGGGAUAACUUCGGGAAACCGGAGCUAAUACCGGAUAAUAUAUUGAACCGCAUGGUUCAAUAGUGAAAGACGGUUUUGCUGUCACUUAUAGAUGGAUCCGCGCCGCAUUAGCUAGUUGGUAAGGUAACGGCUUACCAAGGCAACGAUGCGUAGCCGACCUGAGAGGGUGAUCGGCCACACUGGAACUGAGACACGGUCCAGACUCCUACGGGAGGCAGCAGUAGGGAAUCUUCCGCAAUGGGCGAAAGCCUGACGGAGCAACGCCGCGGGAGUGAUGAAGGUCUUCGGAUCGUAAAACUCUGUUAUUAGGGAAGAACAAAUGUGUAAGUAACUAUGCACGUCUUGACGGUACCUAAUCAGAAAGCCACGGCGAACUACGU
rnacentral:rRNA from 1 species